AGUCUGGCUGUGCUGACUUAGAGGACAAACAACCGGUCCAGGAUAUCAUUUCACAUCGAUGGCGUAGCAAGAUGAGGGUUUAUACCCAGUAAAGACACUGGUGGAGUAUACUUGUACAUCACCUAUACAGGUACUACACAACAGAUACCAAUCUGUAGGAUUUAUCAUCGACAUUGUUGAAUCAACGGUGGACAGACAGUCUGAUAGUGAAGAUUGAGACCAAGAGACAGAAUGGGUGGAAUUAAUGAAAUCAGUCUAGAGAAUCACGUGGAUUACCCUUACAUCCUGGUCGUUAUAGGAUAUCUCACGACCUUUAGCAUUGCUGGAUCUAUCGGGAACGGAUUCGUGUUUUACAUAUUUUCAAGGAAGAGAGAAAAAUCAACAACCACAGUCUUUAUUCUUGCUUUAGCUCUGACAGACUUCCUCACAUGUUUGAUAAUCAUUCCAUUUACUAUAUAUUAUGAAAUUAUGGCUAAAAGAAUCAACAGUAAUUUGCAGUGUAAAAUAUACACUUUUCUCAUUACGUCCAACAUCCCGUUUUCGGCUUUCAUUAUGGUUCUGAUCGCGUUCGAUCGAUAUUUCAAGAUAUGCCGACCUUGGAAUCAGUGCUUAGAUAUUCGGAUGUCUAAGAAAAUAAUAGUGGCAGUCCUCAUUUUUGCAUUAUCUCUCGGAGUGAUUCCUUCCUUGACGCACGGAGUUUAUCCAAUUUCGGAGGAAACUGCAAGAAAAGAAAACAUAACUGGCCGUGUAAUUACCAGUGAUGAGCAACAUGCUUAUAAUGGUCUGGUAAUGAAACCUGAAAAUGCUACCGUCUUUGAAGAUUUGAUUGAUAAAUCUGAUUUUCGUAGCGAGCGUUACAACGAAUCUUCAAAUGUGAAUAAGGGCUAUGAAGGGUAUUGCAUCCCUGUCUACGACAAUUUCGAUCAAAGCUUCAUCAAGAAUUAUCAAAAUUUCUAUGCGUCGUUAUUUCUUAUUUCGUGUGCAUUUGUGACCGUAUUGUACGCUCUGAUCUUCAAGUCCAUCACCCUGAGACGAUACAGAAAAAGCAAGCGUACACACAAGGAAGCAGACCGACGAACCAGUCACACGAUCACGAACAUCGGCACCACUAGACUGACCGCAAUCGAAACCGCCGAUAAUGACCACAACCAGCGAAUGGUGAAUAACAAUUACGUCACAGAGAGCAAGCGGUCAGUGAGAAACAAGCUUCGUUUAGCCAACAUCAAAACUGCAGGGAUUCUGUUUGUGGUGACCGUCGUUUUCAUCCUGGCCUUUCUGCCAGCCUGGUUGAUGUCCAUUCGAGUGAUUAAACCCAGCAUCAUUGUUUAUUAUUUGUACUUCAGCUACAACAUUGCUAAUCCUGUGAUUUAUGCGUUCUUUAAUGUAACUUUUAGAAAUGAUAUCAAAAAUGCCAUAAAUUGCAGAUAAAUAUGAAAUAUAAUAAUAAUACCAUAUUCAUACAGCACCCUUUUCAUACACUAUGUACGCUCAAAGGUGCUUUACAAUGCAUAUAUACCUUACAACAGAAUGUUAUACACAUAAUACAUAGAAAAUAAAUAAAACAUUAAGAAGCAAUGAUAUAAAAGGCGUUAUCACGUGUAAACAGUCCGUAGGUGUACCUAUCCUGAUUGUACAUAUAAAACAUGAAAACACAAGAUACCAUAAAUAUGCUAGAUAAGAAUAAACAUCAGUUUCAGGGCGUAUUAAAAUAAUAAUAAUAAUAAUGUAAUACACACACGCACACACAGCAUAUAAUGUUUCAGUUAUAAUACAUUAAAACAUAGAAUUUUUUUUAUGAAACAUCACAAAAUGGUACUCGAAAACUAAAACACACAGUCAAAACAGAUAAGAUAAUCUUAAUGCACUGAAACAGCAAACACGAAUGACUGAAAUGAUAGAAACUAGUCCUGAAAAACUUGAUGGAAAAAAUGUGUUUUCAGUGACUUCCUGAACGCACACAAUGUUCUACGCACACAGUGUUCUACAGUCCCUUACAUGUUCUGGAAGGGCAUUCCACAGUUUUGGAGCUAUUGUUCUGAAACGUGUAUAUAUUUUUUUAUUGUAUGGUCUUUUUUAAAACUAUUUGUUGCAGUGACUUGUACAUGUAUUAUACAAUAAACAUAUAUUUAUGUAUAUAAU